GACGAACGCUGGCGGCGUGCCUAAUACAUGCAAGUAGGACGCAGUUGCGAACGGGUGAGUAACGCGUAGGUAACUACCUAUUAGAGGGGGAUAACUAUUGGAAACGAUAGCCAAUACCGCAUACUAGUAGAUGGACCUGCGUUGUAUUAGCUAGUAGGUAGGGUAAUGGCCUCCCAAGGCAACGAUACAUAGCCGACCUGUAGGGGUGAUCGGCCGCACUGGGACGGGAACACGGCCCAGAGGCCUACGAGAGGGAGCAAUAGGGAAGCUUCGGCAAAGGGGGGAACCCUGAACGAGCAAAGCCGCGUGAGUGAAGUAGGUUUUCGGAUCGUAAAGCUCUGUUGUUAAGGAAGCGGUACUUAACCAGAAAGGGACGGCUAACUACGUGCCAGCAGCCGCGGUAAUAC
rnacentral:rRNA from 1 species